UCCUACGGGAGGCAGCAGUGGGGAAUAUUGGACAAUGGGCGCAAGCCUGAUCCAGCCAUGCCGCGUGAGCGAUGAAGGCCUUCGGGUUGUAAAGCUCUUUCAGACGGGAAGAUGAUGACGGUACCGUCAGAAGAAGCCCCGGCUAACUCCGUGCCAGCAGCCGCGGUA
rnacentral:rRNA from 1 species